rnacentral:rRNA from 1 species
GCUUGCAUUGUCCCUUUUGUGCUCAGGGAUCCCUUUCUAAUCUUGUCUGAUUUUGAAAGCUAAGCAGGGUCACGCCUGGUUAGUACUUGGGUGGGAGGCUGCCCGGCAAUACCAGAUACUGUAAGAU